CCAAAGCAAUGAUGACAGGGCAUUGCAACACAGGGACCAAGUCACAGCACUGGCCUUCCAAACAGGGGACCAGACCUGGAGGUGCCAAGGACUGAAGCAGGGACCUUAUGCAUGCAAAGCAGGCACUCUCCUACUGCUCCACAGCCCUUUCCCGCAAAAGAUCCCUGUUUCUGAGGCAGACUCAGAGGCUCCCUUUACAUAACCGCCUCACCACCUGGCAGCUCCGCACACCUUCGCCAGGAGGAUGCGAGAAGUGGAGCGCGGUGGGGGUGGGCUUAUCCACACCCAGCGCCCUCAACGCCCCCCCCCCGCGCGCGCGGACUCGAGAGACAGUUUCUUCUGCCACGAGGAAGGAGAGGCGUGAGCCGCCUCUUGAGAUGAGCGCAUAAGUCGAGAACCCUGUUAAAUCUGGAAGGAGGCGCACGCUUGGAUGCCCUGGUGCAGCUGCGGCUGGGAGGCUGCACCCACCAUCUCCCAGGAAAAACGCAAGGCGAAGAACCUGGCCCCGCCCAUCAGCCAGCGGAGCAUCUGUGACUGUUCCUAUGCUUGCGUCUCUCCCGGUCCCAAUUCCUUUUGUAUCAUACCCAGCUCCUGUCCCUUCCAGGAAGAAAGGUGAAGCAACCGCUUCAGGUGGCAGGAUCCACAGUGGAAGCAACCCCCACCCCCACGCGCUUCCUGAUGUACAUCUUCACUCAUCCCUCCUUCUAUGGCAGCAAGGCGUGGGGUGCCAUUUUGUGGUUCACCUCAGCCACCAAAAUGUUUUGGGCCGGCCUGGAUUAAAUCUAUAAUAUUGCAAAAGCCUCCUUGUUGGACGAGCUUUUUCUCAAGCCGGCUUGCAUCUGAUUUGAAAACCUAAGCCAUGUGCAUCUGAGACAGCUGUUGCACAUGCACAGAUGGUUGCUUCGUUGGAGUUUGGGGCAGAGGGGUGUUGUAGGUGAAAGGUGGGAAAUGGAGUAAUGCACAUCAGGUGAGGACAUCUCUGCCCCUUUGGUGUGUGCAGCAACUUCUGAAUGCAACAUCAAACACAGCAGGGAGGAAAUAGCUUAGCUGCAUUUUAAGCCAUGCAUAUGUACAUAGCCCUAAAACACAUCUUGUGCCUCCACCCCUGGCCACCUUUGCACCUGCCGCUGGUUGGUGGAUCAUUCAAUCAAUAAAUAAAAUAGGUUUUAAUGAUAAAAUAGACCCUGUAAGCAUGACUGUAGUCAGGUUUUAUGUUGGGGUGGACAGAACCUCAGCUAAAUAUUUUUAUUGAUUUAGGGGGGGCAGCUAUGCCAAUGCUUGUAGGUAGGGCUGCCCUGCUCCUCCGGGUCUAAUUAACACAUAGGUGCUUUCAGCAUUCUAGCCAUGCUUGCCUUCAUAGGCAUUGUUAUGAGAUGGCCCAGGAGACAGCCCCAGGUCUUUGUCACCUAGGGUCUUGGGCCCUGGAUCUCCUGUUCUGUUCCCUACUUUUUUCUACAUGUAAAACCAACUUGAUUUGCUAUCAUGCUAUUUAAUGUUGGUGAGCAGUAAAUGGAUCAAGGUC